rnacentral:rRNA from 1 species
ACGAACGCUGGCGGCGUGCUUAACACAUGCAAGUCGAACGGAAAGGCCCUGCUUUUGUGGGGUGCUCGAGUGGCGAACGGGUGAGUAACACGUGAGUAACCUGCCCUUGACUUUGGGAUAACUUCAGGAAACUGGGGCUAAUACCGGAUAGGAGCUCCUGCUGCAUGGUGGGGGUUGGAAAGUUUCGGCGGUUGGGGAUGGACUCGCGGCUUAUCAGCUUGUUGGUGGGGUAGUGGCUUACCAAGGCUUUGACGGGUAGCCGGCCUGAGAGGGUGACCGGCCACAGUGGGACUGAGAUACGGCCCAGACGCCUACGGGAGGCAGCAGGGGGGAAUAUUGCACAAUGGGCGGAAGCCUGAUGCAGCAACGCCGCGUGCGGGAUGACGGCCUUCGGGUUGUAAACCGCUUUCGCCUGUGACGAAGCGUGAGUGACGGUAAUGGGUAAAGAAGCACCGGCUAACUACGUG